rnacentral:lncRNA from 1 species
UCUAGGCUUGGUUGAGCCGCGCAGGAAGGUCCGAGGCUGGGGGAGCAGCCGUUGGCUCUGGUGCCCCUGGGGGUGGGAGCACGAGUGGGCAAGGAUGAUGGUGAGGCAGAGGAGGCGGCCCCGAGGGAGCGCCCGGCUGAGAGGCGGGGGGCCGAGGGGCCCGGGGAGCGGGCGUCACCGAGGGCCCUGGAAGCGGCAGGGCUGGGGGAGAGGAGACGCGUGUGUGGAGCAUGGGGACCCCAGCCCAGCUCCCACUUGCAGACCUGGGCCGCGGGCUGCCGGCCGAGUGGCCGGGGGGCCUGGCUGCCCAGGAGGCGGGCCGGGGCCGCGGCCGGGGGCGCGGAGCGGAGUUAGGGUCGCCAGGCCGAGCCGAGGUGGGACGGACCGACGCAGAGAGGAAGGGAAGCCACCUGGCCUGAAGAUCCUGUCUCUAAGAUCCCAUUCUGAGGCUGGAGUGCAAUCUUGACUCCCUGCAACCUCUGACUCCCAGGUUCAAGCGAUUCUCCUGCCUCAGCCUCCGAAGCAGCUGUGAGUGCAGGCAUGCGCCACUACGCCUGGCUAAUUUUUAGUUUUGCUCUUCUUGCCCAGGCUGGAGUGCAAUGGCAUGAUGUUGGCUCACCACAACCUCCACUUCCUGGGUUCAAGUGAUUCUCCUGCCUCAGCCUCCUGUGUAGCUGGGAUUACAGGCAUGCUCCACCACGACCGACUAAUUUUGCAUUUUUAGUAGAGACGGGAUUUCUCCAUGUUGUUCAUGUUGGUUUCGAACUCCCAACCUCAGGUGAUCUGCCUGCCUCCGCCUCCCAAAGUGCUGGGAUUACAGGUUGUGAGCCACUAUGCCCGGCCUCUCUUAAUCUAUUUCUGAGAGUUCUGUUACAUAUUCUGAUGUUUAAUCUUCAGUUAUAUGUAUUAGAUAUCUUCCACCAAAGUACAGUUUGCCUUUUAAUUUUAUUAGAUUUUCUAUUGCAUGUUGAAAAGUAGGUGAUAUUUUUGUGUCUUAUCUAAGAAAUACUUCCUGCUCUAAGUCCCGAAGAUGUUCUUUUAAGUUUGGCUGUUCAUGUUUAGCAAUUUGAAGUGCCAAAAUUUUGUAAUUAUAUCAUGAAGAAGGGAACUAAUUUUACUUUUUCCUUCUAAAGAACUGGCCAGUUUAGUACUAUUGAAUAGUUUCAUUUUUUCCCCACUGAUCUGAUUAAAAGAAAAUUUCCCGGUAUCUUUUAUGUAUCUAGUUCUACGUUUUGAGGCUCUCUACAGUUUUGCAGCAAAUCUGGCUAUCUGGUAAUGUGUAUUUGCAUCAUGCCUUCUUCCAAAUUUCUUGCUGUUGGUCCUUUAUGUCAUGUGAACUUUUGGAUCUGUUUCUCAGCUUUCAUUAAAAAUACUGUAGGCAAUUUGACUGGAAUUUCUUUGAAUUUAUAGAUGUUCAUGAGAAUCACCAUCCUUAAAAAAUGUAUCCUACCAUUUGUAUAGAGCUUCAUGCUUUCAGGCAUUACUGUUUUCUCUAUAAAGAUUUUAAAUAUAUCAUUAGUUUUGUCGUUGUUAUGAAUGAUACUUAAAAAAUGAAUAUUUUCUACUUUUUUAUUAGUUUUCAAAUAUUCUUUAC